UGUGUGUGUGUGUGUGUGUGUGUGCGUGUGUGUGUGGUUUGUUGGGGGGUUGACUGAUGCUCUGUUUUGCCCAGUGGGUGAGUAGUGGCACUAAUCCCUUCAGGUAAACUGUAAGGCCUGGUGGACACACACACACACACACACACACACACACCCU
rnacentral:pre_miRNA from 14 species